rnacentral:rRNA from 1 species
AGGAUUUAAAAGUCGAACAGACUUAUUUUAUGAACAUCUACACCCAUAAAUUACCUUAAUUCAACAUCGAGGUCGCAAUCUUUCUUGUCGAUAAGAACUCUCAAAGAAAAUAACGCUGUUAUCCCUAAAGUAAUUUCAUCUUAUAAUCACAACUUAUGGAUCAAAAAUCCUCUUAUCCAAGUAACCAAAAAUAAAGAGUUUAAUUAAUCUUCAAAUCACCCCAAUUAAAUAAAUUUAAUUAUAAAUUUCAAAUCAAAUAAAAUCAAUCUACAAAUAAAUUUAUGAAACUUUAUAGGGUCUUCUCGUCCUCCAUCAACAUUUUAGCCUUUUUACUAAAAAGUUAAAUUAUAAUAACAUUACACCGAGACAGUUAAUACUUCGUCCAACCUUUCAUUCCAGCCCCCAAUUAAAAGACUAAUGAUUAUGCUACCUUUGCACGGUCAAAAUACCGCGGCCCUUCAAAUACUCAGUGGGCAGGCCAGACUUUUUAUUCAUCCAAAAAGACAUGUUUUUGUUAAACAAGGGGG